GUUUUUUUUUUAGUUAUUGGUUUAAAUGAUAAUAUUUAUCAUCUUCAAUUAUGCUUAUGGACAAAUAUCAUGUUAGGAAUGUUAAAACUUUUUGAUUUUGCGUGAUUACUUGUUCAGACUAUGUUAGGAAUAAAUCUGUUUAAGGGUGAUUUUGAAAAUGAUUUAGUCUUGUCACUUAAAAUGUAUAUUCGUGACUUGAAAAUGGUUUAGUGUUCUCACUUGAAAUGUGAAUUAGAGACAUAAAAAUAUUUUAGUAAUUUGAAAUAUGAAUUUGUGACUUGAAAAUGAUCAACUGCAGUGUUUUGAAAUGUGUACUAUUGACUUUAAAAUGAUCAAGUGUAGUCACUUGAGAAGUGGAUUAGUGACUUGAAAAUGGUUUGGUGUAGUUAUUUGUAAAGUGAACUUGUAUUUUGUAAUUAGUAAAGUGUAGUCACUUGAAAAUGUGAAUUCAUGACUUGAAAAUGUUCAAGUGUUGUCACUUGAAAUGUGAAUUCAUGACUUGAAAAUGUUCAAGUGUUGUCACUUGAAAUGUGAAUUCAUGACUUGAAAAUGGUUUGGUGUUGUCACUUGAAAUGUGAAUUAGAGGCAUGAAAAUGGUUAAUUGUAGUCACUUGAAAUAUGAAUUGGUGACUUGAAAAUGAUUAAGUGUAAUGUUUUGAAAUGUGUACUAGUGACUUCAAGGUGAUCAAGUGUAGUCACUUGAGAAGUGGAUUAGUGACUUGAAAAUCGUUUAGUAUAGUUACUUGAAAAGUGAAUUUGUGUUUUGUAAUUAGUGAAGUGUAAUCACUUGAAAAUGUGAAUUCAUGAAUUGAAAAUUGUCAAGUGUUAUCACUUGAAAUGUGAAUUUAUGACUUGAAAAUGUUUAAUUGUAGUCACUUGAAAUGUGAACUAGAGACAUGAAAAUGGUUAAGUUAGUCACUUGAAGUAUGAAUUUGUGACUUGAAAAUGAUCAAGUGUAGUGUUUUGAAAUGUGUAUCAAUGACUUCAAAAUGAUCAAGUGUAGUCACUUGAGAAGUGGAUUAGUAACUUGAAAAUAAUUUAGUGUUGUCACUUGAAAUGUGAAUUAGAGUAAUGAAAAUGGUUAAGUAUAGUCACUUGAAAUAUGAAUUUGUGACAUGAAAAUGAUCAAGUGUAGUGUUAUUAAAUGUGUACUAGUGACUUCAAAAUAAUCAAGUGUAGUCAUUUGAGAAGUGGAUUAGUGACUUGAAAAUGGUUUGUAUGGUUAUUUGAAAAUUGAACUUGUCUUUUGUAAUUAGUAAAGUGUAAUCACUUGAAAAUGUGAAUUCAUGUCUUGAAAAUGGUUAAGUAUUGUCACUUGAAAUGUGAAUUAAUGACUUGAACGUGGUUUAGUGUUGUCACUUGAAAUGUGAAUUCAUGACUUGAAAAUGGUUUAGUGUUGUCACUUGAAAUGUGAAUAAGAGACAUAAAAAUGGUUAAGUGUAAUCACUUGAGAAGUGGAUUAGUGACUUGAAAUUAGUUAAGUGCUGUCACUUGAAAUAUGAAUUUGUGACUUGAAAAUUAUCAAGUGUGGUGUUUUGAAAUGUGGACUAGCGACUUCAAAAUGAUCAAGUGUAGUCUAUUGAAAAGUGGAUUAGUGAUUGUAAAAUGGUUUAAUGUAGUUACUUGAAAGGUGAACUUGUGUUUUGUAAUUAGUAAAGUGUAAUCACUUGAAAAUGUGAAUUCAUGACCGUUUCCGAUAGACCUUUGGCUCAAGAUAAG
rnacentral:lncRNA from 1 species